rnacentral:rRNA from 1 species
CCUACGGGAUGCAGCAGUGGGGAAUUUUGGACAAUGGGCGAAAGCCUGAUCCAGCAAUGCCGCGUGCAGGAUGAAGGCCUUCGGGUUGUAAACUGCUUUUGUACGGAACGAAAAAGCUCCUUCUAAUACAGGGGGCCCAUGACGGUACCGUAAGAAUAAGCACCGGCUAACUACGUGCCAGCAGCCGCGGUAAUACGUAGGGUGCGAGCGUUAAUCGGAAUUACUGGGCGUAAAGCGUGCGCAGGCGGUUAUGUAAGACAGAUGUGAAAUCCCCGGGCUCAACCUGGGAACUGCAUUUGUGACUGCAUGGCUAGAGUACGGUAGAGGGGGAUGGAAUUCCGCGUGUAGCAGUGAAAUGCGUAGAUAUGCGGAGGAACACCGAUGGCGAAGGCAAUCCCCUGGACCUGUACUGACGCUCAUGCACGAAAGCGUGGGGAGCAAACAGGAUUAGAUACCCGUGUAGUC